ACUCCUACGGGAGGCAGCAGUGGGGAAUCUUGCACAAUGGAGGGAACUCUGAUGCAGCGACGUCGCGUGAACGAUGAAGGCUUUCGAGUCGUAAAGUUCUGUCCUAUGGGACGAUAAUGACGGUACCCCAAGAGGAAGCCCCUGCUAACUACGUGCCAGCAGCCGCGGUAAU
rnacentral:rRNA from 1 species